AGAACUUCCGGCCCGCCGUUACUUCCGUCUUAAUGCUUUUGAAAACCCGGCCUGGACUCCGAAAGCUUUUGUUGACUUCUCUCGGCCAAAUCUAAAAGGCGGAGCUCGGAGCUGUCUCUUCCUUCCGGGCGGGAGGGCGUCUGGCGGGCGGCGUGCUGCUGCUCAUGCGCUCGGACCCGGGCACGUGCUUGGACGUCCCCAGGGAUUGAGGAUUAGACCAUCCCGUGAUCUUUUUAAAAUAACUGGAUUUUUUAAAAGCUAAUCACCACGUUGUCUCUUAUCACGUUAAGUCAGAAGAUUGAUCGCUUUUGAUGUCUCUAAGUGUAAAGGAAAGUAGUAUUUAUGAAUCUGGAUACUUGAAGGAAAUAUGCUGCAGAAUGACUUACAGUUAAAGCUCCCAGGAUCCACACCUUAGAUCUACGCCACAACUGUCACAUGUUCAGAAGUGACACAGCUUCUCAAAACCAUGCAAGGUAUGCAGGAGGACUGGCCGAG